AGUCGAACGAUGAAGCCNCUUCGAUGGUGGAUUAGUGGCGAACGGGUGAGUAAACACGUGGGCAAUCUGCCCUGCACUCUGGGACAAGCCCUGGAAACGGGGUCUAAUACCGGAUAACACCCGCCGAGGCAUCUCGGUGGGUUGAAAGCUCCGGCGGUGCAGGAUGAGCCCGCGGCCUAUCAGCUUGUUGGUGGGGUGAUGGCCUACCAAGGCGACGACGGGUAGCCGGCCUGAGAGGGCGACCGGCCACACUGGGACUGAGACACGGCCCAGACUCCUACGGGAGGCAGCAGUGGGGAAUAUUGCACAAUGGGCGAAAGCCUGAUGCAGCGACGCCGCGUGAGGGAUGACGGCCUUCGGGUUGUAAACCUCUUUCAGCAGGGAAGAAGCGAAAGUGACGGUACCUGCAGAAGAAGCGCCGGCUAACUACGUGCCAGCAGCCGCGGUAAUACGUAGGGCGCAAGCGUUGUCCGGAAUUAUUGGGCGUAAAGAGCUCGUAGGCGGCUUGUCGCGUCGGAUGUGAAAGCUCGGGGCUUAACCCCGGGUCUGCAUUCGAUACGGGCAGGCUAGAGUGUGGUAGGGGAGAUCGGAAUUCCUGGUGUAGCGGUGAAAUGCGCAGAUAUCAGGAGGAACACCGGUGGCGAAGGCGGAUCUCUGGGCCAUUACNUGACGCUGAGGAGCGAAAGCGUGGGGAGNGAACAGGAUUAGAUACCCUGGUAGUCCACGCCGUAAACGU
rnacentral:rRNA from 1 species